rnacentral:tRNA from 1 species
GCUAACGUAGCUUAACCAAAGCAUAACACUGAAGAUGUUAAGAUGGGCCCUGAAAAGCCCCGUGGGCA